UUUUAGCCCGGAUGGAAACGGCAUCCUUUUUAUAAGGCGAUUUUUUUUCGCCUUAUAAAAAGAUAUAGUGUACAGCCGGAAUAGCU
rfam:Flavobacterium sp. AED Contig06, whole genome shotgun sequence.